rnacentral:rRNA from 1 species
AAGGAUCAUUGUCGUGACCCUGACCAAAACAGACUGCGCACGCGUCAUCCAAUCCGUCGGCGACGGCACCGUCCGUCGCUCGGCCAAUGCCUCGACCACCUCCCCUCCUCGGAGCGGGUGGGGGCUCGGGGUAAAACAACCCACGGCGCCGAAGGCGUCAAGGAACACUGUGCCUAACCCGGGGGCAUGUCUAGCUUGCUAGCCGUCCCUCGUGUUGCAAAUCUAUUUAAUCCACACGACUCUCGGCAACGGAUAUCUCGGCUCUCGCAUCGAUGAAGAACGUAGCGAAAUGCGAUACCUGGUGUGAAUUGCAGAAUCCCGCGAACCAUCGAGUCUUUGAACGCAAGUUGCGCCCGAGGCCACUCGGCCGAGGGCACGCCUGCCUGGGCGUCACGCCAAAACACGCUCCCAACCACUCUCAACGGGAAUCGGGAUGCGGCAUCUGGUCCCUCGUCUCUCAAGGGACGGUGGACCGAAGAUUGGGCUGCCGGCGUACCGCGCCGGACACAGCGCAUGGUGGGCGUCCUCGCUUUAUCAAUGCAGUGCAUCCGGCGCGCAGCUGGCAUUAUGACCUUUGAACGACCCAACAAACGAAGCGCACGUCGCUUCGACCGCGACCCCAGGUCAGGCGGGACUACCCGCUGAGUUUAA